AGAUUGGUCACAUAAAUGCCACGGCAUUCUGAAAUUUUGAUUUUGAUUAACAUUGAUAGGAUUACUGUGUGUUGAAUUUUUUUUAAACUGAACACUGUGAUUAUGGGGUUUUGUAACUUAGCAGAACUCUUACUGGUAGAAAAACUAGACCUGAAUUAUGUGUCUCUUUUUGGAAAGUUUAAUCUGAUAUCAAACUAGUCACUGAAAUAACAGUUCCAUUGUAAAGUUGUACAAAAAGUUACAGAGAUUAUAUUGGGACAUGGAGUGAGACACCUGUCCUAUGACAUUCAAGUGUGACAGCAACUCAGAGUAGUUCUGCCUGUUUUUUGGGGAUUACAGAUACUUGGCCAGUUUGGGCUGUUGCCACUCGAAAGUUCAUGACUGCAGAUGUCCACAGUGUCUUCCUCUGAGUAAACUCGAAGCCUGAAAUGGAAGCUCUUUGUGGCAGAUAAUUGGGUUUUGACACCAUGAAAAGGUCCAGUGUUCCUAGAACACGUGACUGACACCCCUUUCCCACAGCCAUCUUACUGAUUUGCAAUUUCUGCUCCAGUAGUGGAAUCUGUUUUCCUUGUAACCAGGACCUGAAGAAGAAAAAAGCCGUGUAUCUUAUGAAUGGCCUUAUCUGUUUCCUGGGUAAUACCUUUAAGAGUCAUGUUCUGCAGAGAUUGCCUUUCACUUAAGAAGUACUCAGUCUUUGGGUGCUUCCUAGCUUGGGGCUUUUAAAUUUUGAAAUCAGACAUUCUUCCCACUGUCCUUUUUGACUGUUGACUUUGGUUUUUCUUUUCCCUCUUUAAGUUUCUGUCCUGUUUCCUUACAUUUUUUUCUUUUUGAAUUCUGUCGUUGUCUUCUGUUCUUUAAUACUGUUUGGGCAGGGUGGGGGCCUGAAGGGGGUAAGCAAAGAUGGUGAGCACGUUGGUCAGCAGGCCUCGCUUCAGAGUUGAGAAGAACUUCCAGCACACAGCUCUGGCUUCCUCCGGUUCUCAGCACGCUUGUUGCUCUUCAGUCAGACCGAGAUUGAAUCAAAAAAUGUUUUUAAAUACCCAUGAUUUCUCUCUGUGUUGCAGCCAGCCCUGAUAAUGCUUGUUAGUACCUGUCACCAGAUCUCCCAAGUGUGCUCCUCUAGCCAAGUUCACAGACCUGUUUGAAAAAGACCCUAUAAUGCAGGGAAGUUGUAUGAACACCACAGUGGGGAGAGUCCAGAAUAGCCAGGCCUACCAGUCUCACAGUACCCCCUCUCCCUUGAACAUUCCACGUAGCUGUAGUGUCCACCUGUUUGUCCAUCUGCUGAAACGAGAAAAGAAACAUUCAUGCACUGACUUAAAACCAAAAAGAAAA